rnacentral:rRNA from 1 species
UACGAAGGGGGCUAGCGUUGCUCGGAAUCACUGGGCGUAAAGCGCACGUAGGCGGAUUGUUAAGUCAGGGGGUGAAAUCCUGGAGCUCAACUCCAGAACUGCCUUUGAUACUGGCGAUCUUGAGUCCGGGAGAGGUGAGUGGAACUGCGAGUGUAGAGGUGAAAUUCGUAGAUAUUCGCAAGAACACCAGUGGCGAAGGCGGCUCACUGGCCCGGUACUGACGCUGAGGUGCGAAAGCGUGGGGAGCAAACAGGG